CCCGUCGCCGCCCCCCCGCCCCGUCGCCGGCCCUCCCCCGCCACCCUGUCGCCGGCCCCGUCGCUCCCCCGCCCAUUCGCUGGGGCUCAACCUGUGCGUCUACGUGCCGCGGACGCUGGACGACCUGGACGCCGGCCCGCCCUCCACGGGCUCCUCCACCGCCGCGCUCGUCUCGCCGGCGGCCUCCUCCUCCUCCUCCUACGCCACCAGCGCCAACACCACCCCCACCGCCGACCCCGGCAGCGCCAGGGUCCCCGGUGCGCUCAUGCCCACCACCCCGACGCCCACCUCCGCCGGCCUUCGCCUCUCCAAGUCCGGCAGCAAGUCCUUCAAGCUUGGAUUCAGGUUGUACACCUGUGACGUUCUUGUGCUUCCAAUGAUGCGCGCAAGUAGCUUUCUUCCAUUCUUUCGACACACACACACGCACAAAGUGGGGUGCUGAACACAGGAGGAGGCUGGUCCUCCCUGACUGCACCAGCUCUGCCCCAUCUCCUUCCUGUGAGGAGAAAAGGUCAGUCCCAUCUCCUUCCUCUUGAUAUAUACUGAACUAGAGGCAUAUGCUUGGUUGCUCAGAAUACAUGCUCAGAAUGCUUAUAUCAUGCUCAGAAUCAGCUGUGCAGGAAGCAAUACAUGCUCAGAAUGCUUAUAUCAUGCCACUUAAUAAACCACAAAGAGCAUACUUUAUUGACUUCACUUUACUACUCACCUGUGAUGUUUGGUUGCUCCCUAGCAAAAGCUCAAUAAUAAUUAGACAAUAUAGAACAUGUUCAUUUAAUUUUAGAUUGAACUAUGAAAGGUUAUAUCUCACUAUACUCUAUAUCUGAUAUCUGAUAUUUUUGAGCUCUACAUGUAGUAACUCAGGAGUUUGGUUUAGGUGGAUAUGUUGUAAAGCAAACAGACUAUUUUCACUUCAAUUGGAGAGUAGCCCCUCCUUCCAUGUCAUACUAAGAGCACGAGUUCAAAUCUGGUGGGGUUCGUGCUAUCACAACGUUUUGAUACUUCACAUGUAGUGCUUUUCCUCCUUGAUUCUGCUAAGCCAUAAUUUUUUCUCCUCUUUCCUUUCUAUGUGAUAAUCCAUAUCACAAGGGGCAAAGCUUAUUUCCAACAUCCAAACAAACUAUAAAAUUUGGAAUUCUAAUAUAUGGUGAAUGCAUGCUUCGUAUUUGCAGGUUUAUAGGACAUAAGUAUUCUCCCUGGGCUUAGCAUCCUAUUUCUAUUCUGCCACUGGAUAGUCAGAAUGAUCCUUGCACAACACUUGGUUAUUUCUCUCAUGCUCACUCCAUAUACAUCGUAAUAAGAUGUUAUAAAUAUAUUUUCUUAAUACUAGAAAUCAGUGUUCUACCUUUACAACUACACGUGCUAAACAAUAUGUGUGUUUGUCCAUGAUAUUUGUCUAAAUGCAGAUCAAUAUAUACAGACAGUAGUUUAUAUACAUUUCAACCAUAGAGAAAUAAUGGCGCCGAUAAAUCUGUAGAAAAAAAUUGAACUAAUCAAAAUAUGUGUACCUUUUGGUCCAAUUAACUAUAGUACCAAUAUUAGAAAAAAAUAAGUAUAGUACCAGUUAUUAUAUUUUCCGAAUAGUAGUAUUUCUUCUGGGUAUUAAUAAUAUUCCUAUAUUCCAAUUUGUAAAAGAUUUCGCAAGUAAGAAAUGUUACAUAAAUGUAUAAUGUGAUCGUUAAUAUACCAAGCGUUUGAUCAAAAGAAAAAUUACUAUAUACAUGCCUAUUUAUGAGCAGUACACAUUACUCGAUUAAGUUGUAAAAAGGAGGUGAUCAGAUUCAACUCCAUCCUAUAUCACCAUGUGCAAGGUAGUGGUGUCUUGAUGCAUAUUUGUUGAAUCAUCUGUACCGUCGAUUAGUAUUAUGUAUUGUUCUUACAAAAAAACUGCUUUGUGUGAUAUGCACACGAUUCGUGACUUACAUUGAUUCACAUGAUACUUUGGAGUAGAAGAUUUCUAAUACGUAUUUGCAAGUCUAUGCAUGUCUUAUUUUGUCUUUAUAACACAGAAGAAACUAGCUAUUAAAAUAUAUUUAACUACUUAUAAAUUGCUGCAAUAACAAAAGGAAUCUGGCUGUAUCAUGCACCACAAAGAGCUCAUAUAAAUACAUGAUUGUCAAGGCGAUAUAGAUAUUAGUAUGUAUAGAAAAUAUAAAUUGUUGGUAGAGACAAGAACUUCUAAUCUGAAUAAUCUAUGGUACUUACACUGUAAUGAGUAUACACAAAUCUCUUUUUUUAAAUGUCUAUGGAAACAUACUCUCUUUAUAAUUCUACCAUGCUUCUUUGGAAAAAAGGAAGAUAUAUGCCACAAUAGCGCACUUGAUCGCAGGUGGUCAUCCUCCUGCCAACGAAGAGCAUUAAGAGGUCAGCUAACUUCUCUUUCGUUCAGAAGUACACGCUAUUAGAUGAGAUUUUAAUUUCUACUGUAUGCAUUUGUUUUCCCCUAUCUUUCGAAAAAAUAUAAAGACACGCAGAUUGUGUGUUGUUGAAAGAAAAUUACACUUAAUCUAUCUCUGUAUUGUAACAAGAUGUUGUGUUGUACACGUACAAUUCAGGCUGAUGCUAGUAGCUACUCUUUUCCCUUGCUCUGAUCUUCAUCUCUACCAUGCCGCAAGUAUAGCUUGCUCUGCUUUCCCUCUGUUUGUUGGAUUCCAUCUGGUUUGUGAAAUCUCUGUUACCGUUUUUGUCAGCCAGAGGAGAGUUGGACUAUUCAGUAGCUUGGCAAUGCUAGCAUUCUAUUUUCAGCAUGUUUUAGUAUCUAUGGAAAAUUCUAACUUAUUCUUCGUGUUAAAUUCAUCUAGUUGCACAACAGAUAUUGUUACCUAUACGUAAGAGCUAUCUUAAGACACUCCAACCAAGUCUUUUGUUUAAAUGGUAAACAUUAGAUAUUUUCAACUAUUCUGUGGGUGAGAGUAGUUGCAGGUUAUUCAUGGAAUGGCAGGUGAGUGAACAGCUGCUAGUUACAUACAUCUCUUUGAGGUCAUUGUCUACAGUCUUACCUUGUUGAGAUCAUCGUUUACCAGUGGGUGAUGAUUGGCAGAAUAUUGUCUUACCUUAUUUCAGUAGCUGAAUGUAAUUAUCAGGAUUGUACUCUACUUUCUAGCUGAAUGCAAUUAACAUGAAUUGAUACGAGCCAGGUAAAAAAAAUACAGAAUACUGCUGAUUUGCUUAUCAGCAUCUCCAUCAUCUGCAUUGUCAGCUGGAUAGGAACUCUUCCGUUGUGAAUAUGACAGCAAUAUUCUGCCAAGGGAUGAGUUACAUUCAAAAACACCGAUUCACUAGGGUUUCGGCUACCGCGUAGCUGGUGUGGCUCCAGCGUUGCUCCGGAUGCCAUGGACAGGAUGGCCACUUCCUCCCCUGCCCGGACGCCAUGGAGUGGCUAGAUCUGGCCAUGGACGACGAUGCCCAGUGACAAGGGACGGCCUGGCCUGCCACCCUGAAGCCAUAUCAAGGCGGAUGAACAAGGAGGAGACCACCGUCGGAGGGGAGCUAGGAGGGGUCUGAAGCAGUCGUCUCUUUCGAGCGCAAAGACGGGUCUGCGGUGGAUGCUGGGUUGCAGCUCAGGUCGAUGGUGCGGCCAUGGACACAACCUCCUCAACCUCGACAACCAAUGCGUCGGCAGGGGAGCAACUAAUUCCUGAACCUUUGCUUCUCCUCUUUUAAUUCGAAGUUCUUAGUUUAGUUCCAGAUUUCUGUGCAUGCCACCUUGUUAUGAUUAAUUAGGUUAGUUUAGUUCCAGAUUUCUGAAAUCUACUCUACUUACUAUUCAGGGUUGAUUGCAAAUUCAGUUAA